rnacentral:rRNA from 1 species
AUUGAACGCUGGCGGUAGGCCUAACACAUGCAAGUCGAACGCGAAAGUCCUUCGGGAUGAGUAGAGUGGCGGACGGGUGGAGUAACGCGUAGGAAUCUAUCCUGUAGUGGGGGAUAACGUUUCGAAAGGAACGCUGAUACCGCAUACGCCCCAAGGGGGAAAGCGGGGGAUCUUCGGACCUCGUGCUAUAGGAGGAGCCUGCGUCGGAUUAGCUAGUUGGUGAGGUAAAGGCUCACCAAGGCGACGAUCCGUAGCUGGUCUGAGAGGAUGAUCAGCCACACCGGAACUGAGACACGGUCCGGACUCCUACGGGAGGCAGCAGUGGGGAAUAUUGCGCAAUGGGCGAAAGCCUGACGCAGCCAUACCGCGUGUGUGAAGAAGGCCUCGGUUGUAAG